UCCAGUGGGUGGCGGUAAUGCCCCCAUUAGACCCCUUUCACUGACGUCACCCGAAACCGGAAGUAAACAAACCCUGUGCCAUAUUGGAAGACCAACAAACUCGUGAUUAGGGGGAAAUAACGGCAGCGCGCGGUAUGUGAACCCACGAGGCACUUCGUUCAUCAAAAACCUACGUGUUAGGGUUCUAACAAAACUGAUGGGAAAGGUGAAAAGAAGUCUUUCUACAGAAUACCAGCUGUGAUUGAGACACAAGGGGAGCAAACUAAGGAGCUUUCUGCCAGGAGGCAGAGAGAGUAUUUAGCUGCUUUAUGCAGAGCGGAUCUGAAUACUUCAAGUCUAUUUUGUUACUGUCUCUGUUCUCUCUCUCGGUCUCUCUAUUUCUGAGCUCUACACAGAUUCGACUGAGAAUCCUCAAGACGUUGUGAACAAAGAGGGGAAGAGAUCGUGCGCCCCGUUUGGAACCAAUCAUCCUCACUACAACCAUGACAGUCCUCAUCACGGGUUUCGUGACUUCAUUGUUGCUCUGGGCAGGGCUACCCGCCCGAGCCUUCGUGACUGCUUCAUCUUUGCUCGGGGCAGGGCUACCCGCCCGAGCCUUCUGGACCACUUCAUUGCUCGGAGCAGGGUUACCCGCUCGAGCUGGACAACAUCUUCUGGCAAUUUGCUAACUGGACUGCACGAGCGCACACCACACGAAUGUGUUAUGUCUUUCAUCUGAUGCCGUUUUCUACUAUUAUUACACUUCUCUAUGCUCUGAAACUCUGUAUUCUUACAGGACUCUUUUUCACUAUAGGUCGAUAUGCCUUCUAAUUUCAUUUUCCCUCACUGUUUUAGAACAAAUUACUCUGAAGGAAGUAGCAUGUAUUUGGGACGAAUUAAGAGGUUUUGAGUUUCUCUAAGCUCCGGUGAGGUGGGACGAGGGCUGAUUGGGCAUGCACCAAUAUACGUCACCAAUAUACGUCAAGAAGGGCAAAGAUUAACUCAAGAUUAAUUCUCGAUGUAAUCACAUAUAUGAUCAUGAGGUGAUAAUGAUCAUAUAUGAUCCUAGGAUUUGAUAAUAGUGAUACUAUUAUCAAAGGGGGGGAUUGUUAGGUUUUAUUAUUAUGUAGGUUUAUAAAUAAUUGUAAUUCUUGACCAAGAAGGCAGUAAUUUAUUUGUGACAAAAUUAAGGAUUAAUGUCUGUUCAGUUAAAAUAACCUUAGGUCUCGGCUGGACAUUGUUUGGGAACAUUUUGUUUAUUUUGAUAUGAAAUGUGUAUUUUUGAUCAGAGAUGUGUCUGAACGGCGCCAAGGUCUGCAAUGACGCCACACACACCCACAGCUGCAUAUCCAACGUGUAUUUGGGAUUAAAGUUAAAUUUAAAGUCAUAAUUCAUGUUAGUUUUAUAGUUUUGUAUUAGCCUUAUUGCUGCACAAAGUGUUAAGACUGUAUAUGGGAGAGCUUUUUAAGAUCCUUUAUUAUUUUGGACUAUUGCAUAUACUAUGGCAGUGAUUUAGAUUUAAUUGUUAGAUCUAAGAUGCAUUCAGUGAUUUAAGUUAGUUUUAUAGUUUUAAGUUAGUUUUAUAAUUACAGAAUAUAAUUUAGGAUUGUUAAGACUUUAUGAUUCUAAUGGUAAGACUUUGAGUUUAAUCCUGAAUCCUGUUUGACCUUCCUGAUGUAGCACUUCUUUGUUUAUGUUUCGUAUGACUGUCUUUGUUUAGGUUUGUUCUUAUUUUUUUGUUUACUUUCUUAUAACAUAUCUGUGUUUAAAAAUUCCAUCACCAUCUUAAGUACAUAUUGCCCUAUGUUAUAUCUGACCUGAAGGGGUGUACAUAAGCGAUGACCUUUAAAAUCUGUCUGUACCUUGCUAUCAUGUCAUAUCAUCAGAAAUAUGUCAUUAUGUUAUGAUUUACACACACACACUGAUGGAGAUUAUUUGACCUGCCCCAAGAUCAAGCUGCUCACUGGCACGCAAGUCAAACACACACACACAUACAUCUAAACAUUCCAUUAGAACAGUGAUGUAAUUAAGAUGUGACACACACACACACACAAAUAGACACAGAUAUCAAAAUGAUGUCACUCACUCACAGCCCCCCAUAGACACACACAUUCAUGCACACAUACACAUAGAUAUCAAACAGUGAUGUCAUUUACACACAGAUAACACUCGUAUAUAAUAACCCUCUGUAUUCUUGUCCAAUUGGGGGAACUUGCGAAUAAAGAUGUGAACUACA